UACGGAGGGAGCUAGCGUUAUUCGGAAUUACUGGGCGUAAAGCGCACGUAGGCGGCUUUGUAAGUAAGAGGUGAAAGCCCGGAGCUCAACUCCGGAACUGCCUUUUAGACUGCAUCGCUUGAAUCCAGGAGAGGUGAGUGGAAUUCCGAGUGUAGAGGUGAAAUUCGUAGAUAUUCGGAAGAACACCAGUGGCGAAGGCGGCUCACUGGCUCGGUACUGACGCUGAGGUGCGAAAGCGUGGGGAGCAAACAGG
rnacentral:rRNA from 1 species